GGUCCGCUGGCGUAAUGGCAGCGCGUCUGACUACGAUUCAGUAUCGAUAUCAGGAGGUUCCAGGUUCGACCCCUGGGCGGAUCG
rnacentral:tRNA from 1 species